AUUGAACGCUGGCGGCAUGCCUAACACAUGCAAGUCGAACGAGUGGCGAACGGGUGAGUAAGGCAUGGGAAACUGCCUAGUAGAGGGGGAUAACUACCGGAAACGGUAGCUAAUACCGCAUAUAAUUCGAUGGGCCAAUAUGGGAUUAGCGUGUUGGUGGGGUAAAGGCUCACCAAGGCGACGAUCCCUAGCUGGUCUGAGAGGAUGACCAGCCACACUGGGACUGCGACACGGUCCAGACUCCUACGGGAGGCAGCAGUGGGGAAUAUUGGACAAUGGGCGCAAGCCUGAUCCAGCCAUGCCGCGUGUAUGAAGAAGGCCUUCGGGUUGUAAAGUACUUUCAUCAGGGAAGCGUUACCCGCAGAAGAAGUACCGGCUAACGCCGUGCCAGCAGCCGCGGUAAUUC
rnacentral:rRNA from 1 species